rnacentral:rRNA from 1 species
AUGAUCUUCGGGUGCGGUUGCAGCGCCUUAGGUGGUCGCUCGGACGAGCGCUGGAGGAUGCUGCUGGGAAGGCCGGGGGCCUCUAGCCCCGGGUGCCCUCGUGCCAGGGGAAGCAGCGUCGGGCCGGCGUUGAGAACUUCGGCGUGGAGGUUAGUGCGUCUUGUGUGCAAGAGCAAAAAGAAUGGAAUAUGGUCACCUGAUGAUGUAGCAAUUAAGAUCGAGAGUUUGGUGUUUGUAUAA